ACCCGCACAUGGGGGAUAUGGAGAGAGACUGGCCCUGCACGAGAAUAAAACUGUUGGGUCCCGGCGGAAGGAUACGGGGACUCGGGGAAAGGAGGUGAAGGGGAGUGAGGACUGGUCAGUUGGCAGUUGAGCAACGGAUGAGAGAGGGACUGAGCUAAUGAAGCAGGGGGAAGCGCUGUAAGGCUACGGAGCUGGAGGACAGGGUUUGGUCUCCCUUCGCGAUCAGCGACUCUCACCCGGUGUUUGGCACCCAGCAGCAGUAGCGAUGUGAGCUCUCCCUCGGCAGCAGUGAGCGGAAAAUCCACGCCGUCGUGACCGCGGACGCAAGCCUCCAGCGGUGGUGGUGAGGAGCUGAAUUGAGGCGUCUGGCAGUGACGCAGAGAUCCAGAGGGAGAGGAGAGGAGCGGCCUGUUGGCAGAAUUCCCCUGUAAGAGAGUUCUCUCUUGGAACCAUUUGAUCUUACUAGAACAAUACAUACAAGAGAAAGAAAAACAACAACAUGAAAAGGCACCUGCUAAGAUUUAUAUGCAAAGAGAUGGAAAGGUGAAGAACCUCUAAGUGAUUAUUACAAUUAGAGGUCAACACUGUUGUUUUUGAUCCUAUUGUAAGAUUGUUGCUUUCAUUUAAAUGUUACCAGAUAAAGAAGAGAUUCACAAUAAAUAAACACCUUGGGGUUUAUUUACUAA